rnacentral:rRNA from 1 species
AUUGAACGCUGGCGGCAUGCCUUACACAUGCAAGUCGAACGGUAACGGGCCUUCGGGUGCCGACGAGUGGCGAGCGGGUGAGUAAUACAUCGGAACGUGCCCGAUCGUGGGGGAUAACGAGGCGAAAGCUUUGCUAAUACCGCAUACGAUCUACGGAUGAAAGCAGGGGACCGCAAGGCCUUGCGCGGGCGGAGCGGCCGAUGGCAGAUUAGGUAGUUGGUGGGAUAAAAGCUUACCAAGCCGACGAUCUGUAGCUGGUCUGAGAGGAUGAUCAGCCACACUGGGACUGAGACACGGCCCAGACUCCUACGGGAGGCAGCAGUGGGGAAUUUUGGACAAUGGGCGCAAGCCUGAUCCAGCCAUGCCGCGUGCAGGAUGAAGGCCUUCGGGUUGUAAACUGCUUUUGUACGGAACGAAAAGCCUUCUUUUAAUACAGGAGGGUCAUGACGGUACCGUAAGAAUAAGCACCGGCUAACUACGUG